rnacentral:rRNA from 1 species
CGUGCGGCAGCGUAACCAUGCAGUCGAGCGGAACGAUCCUACCAUGCUAGGAGGCGUCGAGCGGCGGACGGGUGAGUAAUGCAUAGGAAUCUGCCCGGUAGUGGGGGAUAACUUGAGGAAACUCAAGCUAAUACCGCAUACGCCCCAAGGGGGAAAGCAGGGGAUCUUCGGACCUUGCGCUAUCGGAUGAGCCUAUGUCGGAUUAGCUAGUUGGUGAGGUAAUGGCUCACCAAGGCCGCGAUCCGUAGCUGGUCUGAGAGGAUGAUCAGCCACAUCGGGACUGAGACACGGCCCGAACUCCUACGGGAGGCAGCAGUGGGGAAUAUUGGACAAUGGGCGAAAGCCUGAUCCAGCCAUGCCGCGUGUGUGAAGAAGGCCUUCGGGUUGUAAAGCACUUUCAGCGAGGAAGAACGCUUGUGGGUUAAUACCCCGCAAGAAGGACAUCACUCGCAGAAGAAGCACCGGCUAACUCCGUGCCAGCAGCCGCGGUAAUACGGAGGGUGCAAGCGUUAAUCGGAAUUACUGGGCGUAAAGCGCGCGUAGGCGGCUUGAUAAGCCGGUUGUGAAAGCCCCGGGCUCAACCUGGGAACGGCAUCCGGAACUGUCAG